rnacentral:rRNA from 1 species
UACGGAGGAUCCAAGCGUUAUCCGGAUUUAUUGGGUUUAAAGGGCGCGUAGGCGGCGCGGUAAGUCACUUGUGAAAUCUCUGAGCUUAACUCAGAACGGCCAAGUGAUACUGCAGUGCUAGAGUGCAGAAGGGGCAAUCGGAAUUCUUGGUGUAGCGGUGAAAUGCGUAGAUAUCAAGAGGAACACCUGAGGUGAAGACGGGUUGCUAGGCUGACACUGACGCUGAGGCGCGAAAGCCAGGGGAGCAAACGGG